AACGAACGCUGGCGGCAGGCUUAACACAUGCAAGUCGAGCGCCCCGCAAGGGGAGCGGCAGACGGGUGAGUAACGCGUGGGAAUCUACCCAUCUCUACGGAAUAACGCAUGGAAACGUGUGCUAAUACCGUAUACGUCCUUCGGGAGAAAGAUUUAUCGGAGAUGGAUGAGCCCGCGUUGGAUUAGCUAGUUGGUGGGGUGAAGGCUUACCAAGGCGACGAUCCAUAGCUGGUCUGAGAGGAUGAUCAGCCACACUGGGACUGAGACACGGCCCAGACUCCUACGGGAGGCAGCAGUGGGGAAUAUUGGACAAUGGGCGCAAGCCUGAUCCAGCCAUGCCGCGUGAGUGAUGAAGGCCCUAGGGUUGUAAAGCUCUUUCACCGGUGAAGAUAAUGACGGUAACCGGAGAAGAAGCCCCGGCUAACUUCGUGCCAGCAGCCGCAGUAAGAC
rnacentral:rRNA from 1 species